ensembl:lncRNA
CUUCCCCGAAGCCACCCUCGAUGCCGGCCCAGGGUCCGGACCAAGAGUCCUGCAGUCCCUCCGCCCCCUGUCUGCUGAAGCCAGAAGGGCAGCCUAGAGUCCUGCGGAAACCACCGCCUCCCACAGCUGUUUCUCUGUCUUCCUGUCUUGUUCUAAAUCUUAUUCUCCGGCUGCCCUUUCAUGUGCCAAAAAAGCUACAGGAAGCCUAGUUAAGGGAGAUACUGGGCGUGGCGGCACUCACCUGUCAUCCCGGCCCUCUGGGAGGCUGAGGCAGGAGGGUCACAAGGCGAUGUAGUGACUUAGGAAGAGGAGAUAAAACAAGGCUGAGGCUGCAGCUGAGGGCAAAGGCCAUGGGUUCGAUGCCGAGUGCCGCGCAUGCGCGCAACACACACACACGGAAACAGAAGCUGUGGAACAAGCGGCGAGGCAUAGACCUGCACGGCGGCCGGCGAUGGCUGGGUCGCAGGACCGAGCAGCGUCGUGGUCACGUGCGGCUUCGCGGCUGUCAUUUCUACCAUUUCCUCUCCCUUUGCCCAGAAACCCGAGAACCGGGCAGCAGAGGCCCCGGGAGAGCGCGGGCCCCGGGCAAAGAUUCGGCCCUCGCGGGGAGAAGGACGCGGCUGCUCCACGCAGGCUCCUGGCUCGGCCUCCCCGCCCCUGGUUCCACGGACGGCCUUUCCCGCCUCUGCGGGGGACCUGAGGCAAGUGGGCCCUCCGUGUCCUCGGGGCCAGCCUUGAGUAAGCCCUUUGUCCUUUUUGCUCAGAUAGGUGGCCUCCGGCCUGGUCAGUGGCGAGCAGAGAAACCUGAGAACGUCCGCCUAAUCAGCCAGCCACAGUGGCGCACGCCCAUGACACCAGCACGCAAGAGGCUGAGGCGGGAGAAUCACCACGAGUUGGAGGCCAGCCUGGGCUACAUAGCAAGACCGCGUCAACAACAAAAAGAAGAAGAUGGACCUCAGGGUCCCCGCACUCCCUGUCCACCGCAGCUGAGACCUGAGGGCAGCCAGGCGUCCAGCGCGGGCGGGCGGGGAGGAGACGCCGGGCGCAGGCCGGGUGGCUGGGCUGCCCGGAAGUGAAGGGGCGGAGCCACAGCCGGGCACUUCCGGCUGCAGCGGGUCACAGUACCGUGCCAGGCGCUCAGCCCCUGCCGCAGUGGUCUCAAUACAAGGAGACACCCUGAGCAAGGGCAGAGGGCAGGGGGCUGAGGGGAAGAUGCGGAGGGGAAGGCUGCACUAUGGAGGCGGAGUCAGCAGGGCCAGUGCCCCCGGCCUGUGAAGCAGCAGGUGAAAGGGCCAGGCGUCAGGACGUCGCCCGAUGUCCUCUCUCCUCCUCCUGCCCCUAGGAAGGCGGGCGGGGAGAGCUCAGGCCCGGGCAGAGGCCGUGCUGGCGCCUGUGUACUGCAGGAACAGACAGGCAGUCCUCACGUGGCACACGGAGGGCACAGCAGGGGCUGUGAGGGGCACGCGUGGCACACAGUCGGCACAGUGGACACCUGCCAGCACCUCCCGCUUCUCAGCGGGCACCUGCAGCCCGGGAUCAGCAUGGCCUGAGGUCACAGCAGGGGGACCCCCAGGCUGCACACAUGGGGGCGCUGGACCCACCGGCCCUUUGUGAGCCGCAGCCUCACUGCUCUCUUCCCAGGAGAUGGUGAAGCCCCUGCCUGGCACCAGGACACAGCCCGGGAGACAACUGGCAGCUGCUCAACCCUCAGGGGCCCGCAGAGCAGCCUUGCUCCCAUUCCUGCCUCCUGUCCAUCCUUCCUGAGCUUUGCGGUGAAGCCCGGGGGCAGAGGCCUCAGCCUAUGCCUCCCUGGGCGGCUAUGGCCCGCACACCGUCCUCCCUGCCUUUGGCCCUUGUCCCUGCUCUGGCUAAGGCACCCGGCAGAAUGCCGCCGCCACGCCUCGCCCUGGAGGUGGCCUUGCACCCGUAGAAGCAGGGUUCCUACUGUGAAGCUGGUCCCAUGAACUUGCUGCCUGCCCAGUUCUCCUCCUCUUCCUGUAGCUCCUUUGGGCUUUUCUCCUGGACAGCGCUGGCCAGGAGGACUCGGUGGCCCGACCCUCCUCCCCAGGCGGUGCGCCCCUGGGUCUUCUCCUUUCCCUGCUGUGCUGGCCAGGAGCGCGGAUCCCAAAGACCCUGGCUGAGGCUGCCACAGACCGCAGAGGGCACAGCAGGUGUCUUCCUGGUCCCAGCGUGCCACCCUCUCCACGGGCCCAGGCCAGCUGGACGGAGCCGUCAGCUGGAGAAGGAACAGUUGCUGAGCAGAUGGCAGCCGUCACUCCUCCCCGUGUCUGCACCGUUGGAGCCCAAGGCGCCCACUGCUUCCAGGUGUCCUGACCCCCACACCUGUGUGACCCAGACGGGCAGCACCACAGUCACCUCAGACCCCUCUCAGCAAGGUGACUCUGAGGCCCAACCCGAGGCGGCGUCUUCCCGGAAGGUGGGUCCAGACUUCUACCUGCUUCCGCCAGCAACCCUGCCACGGAUUCCCGUCUCAUUCACUGCCACAGGAAUGUGAAUGACCCUGUUUCCGGAGAGGCUGGCUGAAUGCUCCUUCUGUAGUCCCUGGGGCCGAGCCUGUGGGAGAACAGUUCCGCUGGACUCUUGUCACUGCGGCAGGGACUGCGAGACUCCAACAGUGGGUCCCCUGGCUCCCCUGGGUGGCUCAGACCCAGCCUGUGGCCUGCAGCUCCACCAGACAGCAGCUACUGCUGCUGCUAAGUGUUCUUUCAUUGUCAAGUUAAUUUCUCUGUUUUCCUUUCUUACGUAUUUCAUGGGAUAUUUUUUUAAAAUAAAAAAAUAAAGUCCAUUCCUUUGUUGAA